GAAUCAUUGCGUGAGGGAUACACCUGUCUCCAUGUCGAACACAGAAGUUAAGCCUCACCGCGCCGGAAGUAGUUGGGGGUUGCCCCCUGUGAGAUAAGGGCUUUCCCAAGC
rnacentral:rRNA from 1 species